rnacentral:rRNA from 1 species
UACGUAGGAGGCAAGCGUUGUCCGGAAUUACUGGGUGUAAAGCGCGUGUAGGCGGCAGGCCAAGUCUGUGGUGAAAUCGCUCGGCUCAACUGGGCGGGGUCCAUGGAAACUGGUCAGCUGGAGGACGGUAGAGGUGAGUGGAAUUCCCGGUGUAGUGGUGAAAUGCGUAGAGAUCGGGAGGAACACCAAUUGCGAAGGCAGCUCGCUGGGACGUUACUGACGCUGAGACGCGAAAGCGUGGGGAGCAAACAGG